CCUCCGUCCCCAAAAUAAGUUCUUCUUUGGGGACGGCACAGGUUUUAAGAAAAAGUGGUAAAGUGUAUUGAUAGUAGAGAAAAAUAUAUUAUAAUUAGUAUUGAGAGUGGUGAAAAGUUGAAAAAGUGUUAUAAUUAGUAUUGGGAGUGGUGAAAAAGUGAAAAGUAAGAAUAAAUAAAGUAUUAUUAGUGGUGGGGUAGUUGUCCAAAAAUGGAAAGAAAGAAAGAGGAACUUAUUUGGGGACGUCCCAAAAAGGAAAAAUAUGAACUUAUUUUAGGGACGGAGGGAG
rnacentral:lncRNA from 1 species